ACGGGUGAGUAACACGUGGGCAAUCUGCCCUUCACUCUGGGACAAGCCCUGGAAACGGGGUCUAAUACCGGAUAACACCUGCCUGGGCAUCUGGGUGGGUUAAAAGCUCCGGCGGUGAAGGAUGAGCCCGCGGCCUAUCAGCUUGUUGGUGAGGUAGUGGCUCACCAAGGCGACGACGGGUAGCCGGCCUGAGAGGGCGACCGGCCACACUGGGACUGAGACACGGCCCAGACUCCUACGGGAGGCAGCAGUGGGGAAUAUUGCACAAUGGGCGAAAGCCUGAUGCAGCGACGCCGCGUGAGGGAUGACGGCCUUCGGGUUGUAAACCUCUUUCAGCAGGGAAGAAGCGAAAGUGACGGUACCUGCAGAAGAAGCGCCGGCUAACUACGUGCCAGCAGCCGCGGUAAUACGUAGGGCGCAAGCGUUGUCCGGAAUUAUUGGGCGUAAAGAGCUCGUAGGCGGCUUGUCACGUCGGGUGUGAAAGCCCGGGGCUUAACCCCGGGUCUGCAUUCGAUACGGGCUAGCUAGAGUGUGGUAGGGGAGAUCGGAAUUCCUGGUGUAGCGGUGAAAUGCGCAGAUA
rnacentral:rRNA from 1 species